AUGGCAAAGAUGGGCAGGCUACUAGAUUUCAGGUUCCAUCUAAUGUGUAAAGCACGAGGUUUGAAUCAUCUCAUCUUUACAAAUGAUUUGAUGAUAUUUUAUAAAGGGCAUGAGUUAUUUAUAAAAAAAAAAGUGAAAGAUGCAUUAGAUCUCUUCUCAAGAGUGACUAAACUGUCAACUAACAAGGAGAAGUCUAGUUUAUACA
rnacentral:lncRNA from 1 species